rnacentral:ncRNA from 1 species
UGGUUCACUUACGUGAUAAAAAGGGAAUCAGGUGCGAAUCCUGGACAGUCCCGCUGCUGUAAACUUGAUUAUGGAAAGACCUUAAGAGCCACUGGAGCACCAUCAUGAUUCAUAAACGGUGCCUGGGAAGGCGGUCUCUCUCAAGUGAAGUCAGAAGACCUGCCACUGCAGU